rnacentral:lncRNA from 1 species
AUUGUUUGUUAAAUUUACUUCUGUGGGCUUUCUUCCCUUGAUUCCUCCCUUCCCUUGUUGGGAAAACUCGUUUCUGCUUCCCUUGUUAACGCAUCUAACCUGCUGUGAAAGUAUGUGUGCUGUCGUACUCUUAGAUCUCAAUUACUCAAUCACCUCUACACAUAUUUAGCUAAUCUAAUUCUUUAUUUUUUUUCUCAAUACUGGGAUUUGAUAUCAAUUCAAUUAGAAGGGUUUUCCAUUCUACCAAAACUAUAAAAUUCAUUUUGUUGAUAUCCAAUCAUUUGAAACGAUAAAACCCUAGGAUUAUUUUAAUUCAUAUUCAAUCAUUUUUUUUUGAAGGAAAUUCAUAUUCAAUCAUGGUUAAACACCUAAAAUUAAAAGCAAACUCAUCUAACAAUCUCCUACUUUCACCAUUAUCCUCUCCAAUUGUGAUUUUAUCAUAAGCUUGGCAUAAAUUUCCUUCAUGUGCUGCAAUAGAUACGAGGAGUUAAAUAAGAGGGAAAGGAGAUUCAAACAAGAAUAAUAAUAUUCAUAGGAGUGGGGGAAGAGAAAAACAAUUUUCCCAGAAGAGAAUAACGAGUAUCAAUACUCCAUGUUUUCAGUUUGAGUUUUUCAAUCACUAAAAGCAAUAAUUGUGUGUGAAUGAGAGAAAUGAUACACAAGAAAAAGAAACACGGGUUAAUUAUAGGCUUUUGGAUUAAAAGAAUUGACGGGUAUGAUUUGGUGUCAACGAAUCCGUUGACACCUGGUUGUUAAAG